rnacentral:lncRNA from 1 species
GAUUCAAGAAAUUGUCAAAGGAUACAAGUUAGUAAAUGGUUGGUUGGCCUAGUUUCCAAGUUUGGCCUACCAUUUGGUCCAAACCCCAUAACUUUCCCAUUUAUAAACCUUUUGGAGAUCCAUGUCGAGUCAAAUGUCAUAAAUGGAAUCCUAUACAACUUUGUUUCAAGACUCAAUCCCUAAUUCAACCCCUAAAGACCUCAAAUUUUGAAUUGGACAAAAAACGUCCAACUGCUAAGGCAGACCCAAAACCAUGUCAUGACCACUACUCUACACCU